GGAAGUAAAAGUUGUAACAAGGUUUCCGUAGGUGAACCUGCGGAAGGAUCAUUCACAAUAAGUGUUUUAUGGCACUUUUUAAAUCCAUAUCCACCUUGUGUGCAAUGUUGUCUUGUAGUGCGAAUGCUUGUCAUUUGCGCUACAGGAUGUAAACAUCAACUCUUAUCUUUAACAACUUUGUCUAAAACCUGUAUGAAUACUUAAUUCAAAUACAACUUUCAACAACGGAUCUCUUGGCUCUC
rnacentral:misc_RNA from 1 species